AACACUUUGAACUGGAGGCAGGUUCGGCGUCUACUUAAACAGGGAUUGUAAAACCACCUGUCCAAAUCUGGCAUCAUCUCUCGAUUGACGAGAGACGGCAUAGUGAGAGGCAAAGGUAUGGACCGAUGAUCACGUUGCCAUCUUACAAAUGUCCAGGAUGGACACAUGAGCUGGAAAAGCUGCCGGUGACCUAGCUGAGUGAGCUACAACUUUACUUGAAGGAGCAUUAUCAGCCAAUCGGUAGCAAUAAAUUAAUAUAGCUGGAAAUCCAGACAGCGAUCUACUGCGUGGCCCUUUACUCUGUCUGAAACUGCAAUGAAGAGAUGAAACAUAAACCUGAAUGGCCCAGUCUGAUCCAGAUAAAAAGCCAAAGCUCUUCCGACAUUUAGAGUAUGGAGUUUUUCCUCCCAUUUACUCAAAUGAGGCUUUGGAAAGAAAGUUGAAACAAAAGAUAGUCCAAGGUAUGGUAAACUGGAGCUUGAACUGGGGCAACACCUCUUUGAGUAGACCCAACAGAGAAUCUAUUCCAUUUUGCAAGAGGUCCACUCAGGAAGUUCCCCACUGCUGGAAUAUGGACCUGGACACAUUUGGGGGAAGAGAUCACGUGUGGUGACCUGCAAAAGACCUGAUCAGGUAGUCUGCCAGAGUGUUUUGAACUCCCAGAAGGUAAGCAGCUUUCGGGACGGAACUGGCAAUGCAAAAUUUCCAAAGGAUUGCCUCCUGGCAUAACUUCAUCGAUCGAGCCCUCCUUGUUUGUCUACAUAGAACAUGGCUGCUGUGUUGUCUGAAUAUCAACAAAUUCCACCCCAAUAUGUUGAAAGAACAUCAGGCAGGCAAACAGAUGGCCUGAAGCUCCCUGAUAUUUAUAUGGAGGCUUAGACCUGUGGAGAC